rnacentral:lncRNA from 1 species
GUUGAUUUUGUGCGUCUUGUUCAGUAAUUAUAUUAUAUGGCUAAAUUGUAGCUGAUGCUCCAGACAACAGCCUUGACAGCCAGAAAACCCAGGCAAGACAUUACAGGACCCUACGAGAAAUGUACAAAGCAAAAAAGCCAAACAAAGCUGCUGUAACCCAUCUAUUAAACCUGGAGUUCCAGGCCAGAAGAAAUUUCAUUGACUCGAAUGCUUUGAAGGAGCAAGACAAACCAACAAAAAUUUUGCAAGCAUACCCCUGCUUCAAAGAACUGGACCAUGUGGGUACACAGAUAUAGCAUAUUUUAGACAGAUGUAAAAUGUACUGACAAAUAUCCCAUAUCCUCUACCUAACUGCAGACAGAAAUUUAAAUUUUUUUUUUUUUUAUUAAAUAAUUAUUUCAGGCAAUGGAUGAACUGCGGAGAAUCAUUGAGCCAGACAAUUGCAAAUACAUUUCUGAGGUGAAGGGCAGGUGGGAGACCUUCUACUCCAAGGUUCAGUUUUAUGGAGUGAUGAAGAAAGUCAUGAAGCCUCCGCGGACAUUAAAUGGAGUUGAACAUGCCAUUGCUGUUUUUACUGCCCUUCCACUGCUCUUCCCAUCUGGCUCAACAGCACCGAAGAAACAGGUCCCAAUCAGUGAGGCUCUUUUCCACGUUCUGACACCCUCAGAGGAUCCAGAUACCUACAUCCACAGGCGAGCAUUUUCCACUCCUGUCUUGCUGGUUGGUGAGGAGAACUGCAUGGUGGUUGUAGAUACAACUCCAGUUCUAACAUUUGACAGAGACUUGCUCCACGAGGGGCCUCUCUACCUCCUGGCCUAUUACUAUGCAUUUCAUCUCACGUAUCCAAAGUGUCUUGCAACACUCUUGUCUGUGUUGCAAACACAAGUUCUGAGAGAUGCCAUCCACGAGCAGGAUACAACCCCCUCGUACAAAAAGGCCAUUCAAGAAUGGAGAAUGUUUGUUGACUAAUUACCGUUUCAAACCUGUGAGGCUGUGAGACGGCUUCAGUGUUUUUUUGUUGUUGUUUUGUUUGUUUUUCUAUUCUAUUUUUUCUUUUUUUCUUUUAUUAAGGGAAAGUUUUAAUUCAUUUAGUUAGUCAGUCUUAGUUUUGGACUGUUCAUCCCAUUUUGCUAUACCCUAGUUGUUUAAGAGGAAAAUGUUCGUUCUUGAAUCUGCCAUACAUUAAAG